GGAGGUGGAGGGCGGCAGAAGUGCGACGCGUGGAAGAGUCAGAGGGAUUCAUGAAUCGCAGAUGCGGUGGAUUAGACCGUCUUUGCCGUAUUUCUGUUUUCGAGGAAGACGGCAACGGGCGGCAGCCAGAUUAUUGCGAAAGUAGCGCCGUCGGCGAAGCUGCAGCCACGGUUGGAUUAGGAAUUAAAUAGCCAUUAAGUACCCCUUAACGGAUCCUAUACAUACUGGCUGGAACGUGUAAGUACACGAGUUUUCUCAACGGAAGUGAGUUCCAUGUACAAGUGCACCUGGGCAAGUUGAUCCCGAAGCAGACUAGUCGGCCCUCCUUCUUAAAGGAUAAUCGAUAUUAUCGUAACAUAUUCGUUUAAUUUAACUUAAAACUAUGAUCGGAGUGAAUGUUUACUGCAACGUGUUUCUGCAACAAACUGCCGUUUUCAUAAAUAAAGUAGUUGAAGAACAAUAUAGCUAUUUGCGUAUGAAUCUGGAUAUGAACCGUUUAGAAGCCACGUCGUCGAUCGACUCCAUAGAUUGAAAAAUAGAGAAAAAUAAUGUUAGAAAUAUUAUGUUUUAAAUUGACUUUGCCACUUAUCGUUGUUUGCGCCAUUUCCUUGUAUCGUAGCAAGUCGACGUAUAAAAGUAAAUCAUCUGUCUCUUUGGAACUGGAUAUUAAUCGUGUUAUCUGCAUAAUGAAAUUGAGAAAUUUGUAAAAGAUGAACUUCAAAACGUAUUUGUUCUAACCAUAGCGUAAUUCGUUUAACCGCGGACAACUUUUUUCUUUUUUCUUGUUCGUUUGUAACGUGUUUCACGCAUACGAGUGUACUUUCGUUCGUGAAUAUUUUUUCCCCUUUUUAACAACACGAGCGUAAUACGUCUGAACAUAGCACGCGAUCGCGAGUGGCCGAUGAAUUUUUUAAUACGAUAGGAGCAAAAUCUUGGAUCUAUCGAUAUUUCACUAUACAGUUAUCGGAUUCCAUUUGAGCACCUCUGAUACGACGGGUUCAGCUAUAGAGAGCUCUAAACCGAAUCCAAUCCUGAUUGACGUGAGGGAAAGAAGAGGGGAAACUAUCGCGAGGAUUAUCUUUGGCGCCACUAACACCACCUACGGACGCCCACCAGAUCUAGACGAAGUCUUCUCAUAUUAUAUUCUAACAAGGGAUGGUGAGACGGUGGUCCGAGAAACCUUCUCGGUCAUCAUCAUCAUCCAUCGAGUAAAACAAAAGGCCAGCUGUCAAAAUGGAUCUCGAGGGUAUCGGUGGAUCUCUCUCUCUCAUUGCAUGGAUACACUGAUCCGCAUUAAACAGUUCGUCCAGAACGAUGUUGCGCCUACGCUUAUCGAAGUAUGACACGUAUAAUCUGUAAAGAGCCCCUAAUAAUGGAUGAGUUGAUCGUAUGGUUAGCUACCUUCGAAGGGAUCUGAUCCAUGCUUAUCUCACAAAAUACACCAAGUUCUUCUGCUUUAACGUCUACAAAUAGUCUCGGCCAGAAUCUGGUUUAGUUAUUCAGAUUCAGUGAUUUAAUAAUCGAAAGAUAAUUCGAUGAUCGUCAGAACAGAUUGGACCGUUGCACGUGGGAAAAUGCGUUUGUUUGAAGACGUGUACGUUCGGCUAACUUGCUUCGACUCUGUCAUAGACAAGGACGCAACGAUGGGAAGGAUCGAAGUGGAAGAGGAUCGUAGGAGAGGGAGGAAAUGCUUAUAAGAGACGUAGCUUAUGUUGAAGUGGAUUGUUUGUAGGCAAACACGACUGACUCUUCGCUCAAGAUUCUCGGUGUGUUAGUCAAAAUGUGGUUGAUACGUGUAUAGCCAACGCGCAGGUACGAUAUAGCCGGAAUGACGCUGACUGCGACCGAGGCGAAGUAGGACCACGAAGAUGAUGAUGAUGGCGAUGGCAACGGAGGUAGUGGCUCGUAAAAUAAAAAAGGAAAGAGAAGGAGGCACCACGCCAGGGAUGAAAUUACCAAGUCGCAAGUCACUCCUGUAACACGUUAACCCGAGACUCGUCCAGGCUCUGGUAUUAUAAGUAAGACGUCCUGGGAGAAGGUGGGUUCCAGAUAUCCGAUCGCUGGAAUAUUCAAUUUGGUUAAGUAAAGAAAACUAGCAGACAUUGUGGAAUACUUGAAAGAAGAACAGAAAAACUCGCGAUGUUGUUAUACGUGUUUUCAAGAUAUUUAAAUAUUUAGUGUUAAUAGAAAAAAUGUACGCUUUGCCGAGACUGACGUUGCCUUUCUAAUAAUUAAUUGGUUCCCACGCACGUAUUAACCACAGGAUUAUUUUCCCUCGACGUACCCGCACGAUCCAAUUAAACAUUUACAUCGGCCACGAACCACAGCUUCCAUCCCCUAUUUGCAUAUGGUGGCUCGAAAUCAAUUACUCCGCAUCUUCGACAAGGAAUCGAAGGCUCGUAAAGUCUCGCUUGGCCGCGUUUCGAGUGAAAUAACAAUCGGGCAGGGCCCAGGUUUCGUGGCAACGCGUUAACGCACAAUACCGUAACGAGCUAAUCACGAUAUCAAAUUCUUUGCCUGUCAGCGCGGCAUUUCGAUGCUAAGAUAUCCGGGCGUAGAGACAGCGGGGGGUAUGCUCUCUAGAAAAACGUUGGAUGACCGAUUAUGAUGAAGCGAUUCUCCCAGUGUGGACCAAGAAGACAACGGGAAGAGAAGGAUGGAAGCAAUCCCAAUAUACCUCGGAGCGAGCCUUCUCAUAAUUGAAACACGCAAUCUUGUACUUACGAUAAUGCAUUUUGCCCGGGCGAGGGCCGUGCUCUCGCGUUAGCGAGAACACCGCGUGUGUCGCGGUUCGUUUCGUCAUUUUUCUAAUUAACACGUCUCACGUUCUCGCUCGCGUUUUUGUCGCGGCACCACGUAUGGACGACGAGACCGACCGACCAAGCAGACCGCAGGGGAACAAGCGGGGGAUAAUUGAAGCUCUCUAAAAAGGUGUCAUUAACGUAGGAUGAAACCAAUUUCGGCCUAUCAACGUUAUCGAACGAUCAGCAACAACCGUGGAAAUUCACGAAACGAUUCCUCGAAGGUCUAAUUAUCCCAGGACGCGCACACGCGAGCAAACACGCUUCACGGCCUUACAACUGAGACACGAUCGUUAAGUACAAGAUCCUUUGGAUUUCCAUUGUAAAGGCGUCACGAUGCGUGGUUUGCAAUAUCGACAAACGGUUCGCGAACAAAGAUAGAAAGAGGAUCGAAGGCGAAGGGUUGCCGAACGAAUCGAAGUACCAGGUACGUGCGACCAGACCACGGUGCCCCCACUACGUGUCAGAUCAAUCAUACACCGUGCAUUCAGACAUCCCGCUGCGAUACAGGACAACUAGCCCCGCAAUUCGUUUCUUCUCUGUGGCUGCUGGCCUGAAAGAACGUGCCCGCAGCCCUCUCUCCUUCGGAACCUGGCCCCCAACUGGUAUCCACGUUCGAUAUGUUACAAUAAAACCACUAUCCUAGCGCCGACACGUGAUGACUCUAUCGGACGGGCCGAAGGCAGACCUGGCCUUUUCUGAGAAUCACGCGUCUCUCGUUCGCGUCUCUCGAGCAGGAUGCACCAGUCAUCGUCGAGACGUCGUCGACACGUUACAUGCCCCCUUCUAUGGCCCCUCCACCAUCGGCUGUUUCAUCAUGGAAAUGGUACGAGCAAUCGUUGCGUCGCGGCGAAAGGAUGAGAAAGAGGUAAAAAGAGGAAGAAAAAGGAAGGGACAAAACACUUCCCCUCUAACUAGUUACGAGUCCUUACGGCACUGGUGUGCCCUCCGGGAAGAUCGAGCAGGCGCGAAAUGGAUCUGGCAUUUCGAAUGGAUUGGACCCCUCUCUUCUUUGAAUUUAUCGAUAGUAUCGGGAUGAUCCCGGCGCCCUCGUGUUUGCUCGCUUGCCUCGACAACGUUAGGCGUUAUAAUUUAAACGAAUCACGGCCUGAGAUUCUCUUCCGUAAGAAUUAUUGUCAGAGGACCGAUUCCGAUCUAGUCGGUCGAGAAUUACGUGUUACGAAUAUUCGAUGAGUGAGAAUUAUUUUUAUAUUCUUCAUUCAACAGCGCGAUAUCUUUCCCUUGUCGUUCAUCGUGUUCGAUACUAAGAUGAUUCUGGUAAUUAUCGAUGUACUAUUAAUGGAAUAACCGAAGAUCAAAAGAAGAACACGUUACGCGAUUGAUCGAUCUCGUAUUAGUAAAAUUGUCUUUUUGCUUGAUUUCACGACAAUCUAACCAAAUAUGUCCUUUUAACUAAAUACAUCCUUUCCUCUCGAAUACUUUAAACAUGUUCCAUUAGCGUAACAUUAAAUAUCGAUCCAUAAGGAAACUUUGUAUCUCUUCUAUUUUAAUCUUGUCUAUAUCUUAUCUUUAAACUUAGCAGACCGUAUUACAGUACUAUUUAUGUCACAUCGAAAUACUUUGUAUUAAUGGCGAAGUAAAAUCAAACUCGCGGAAUCGAUUCAAGAGGAAUGAGAACUCCUUUCGGAAAAAUGAAAUUCAGAACGGUUUGUUCCAACAAGCGUACAAACGGAUUAAAGCCGUAUCAAGGAAACGGGAGAACGAAAUAAUCAAAAUGGCAGAAAGCCGGCAUUAUACCGGCAUCUAAUUCAACGAGCUCGAAACGAAAUGCAGUCAUGACGAGAACUUUUUUCCCCCGCGGGAAGUUUCCACGGCGGAACUCCGUGCUUAAGUGGGUUCCGCGUUCGAUCGCAUGCAAAUUAGAUUUGGCGAAUUGCACUCGUGAGUGCCGCUCGAUUCCCUCGAAUCUUAUAUUCCAGGGACUUUCACGUAGCUCCGUGGAUCCGUGGCAGGUAAGGGCAAAUAAAUUUUUUCACGAUCAAUCGUAUUACACCGGUUCGUUGUGUAACGUUAUUACAAGCUCGUACUACAUUCCUAUUAGAUACUUAUCGCUCGAACCUCCUACGGUUGAGUCGGCUGCUAUCGACUGGUUCGCUCUGCCGUUUUGCACUCUCCGACCAUUUUGCCCCUUCUGUUGUCGUUAUUGCACGUGGCCGAGAUUACAGGGUUCGCCACCCUUGCCAGAUCGACUUUCGUCUGAAGAUUAUUCAAAUUUCGCGUGUCUCGAAUUUAACCUCGAAGAUUUUCACCUUCUCUCCCCGACUCGUUGCCAAAUUACCGAAGAGCUUUGUUUCGACGUUCGGAUCGUUACGUGACCGACAUAUUUCACGUCUUUCUCCCGUAAUUGCGUUGAAGCAGUCAGCGAAUAGGUAAUUUUAUAACACGGGUAAUCGACGAAGGUCCCCGAUAUUUUUCUUCCGUUCGAAAAAGUAAUAUUCUACGCGAUCUGAUGCAACCACGUUACAUAAUUGACACGAGGUUCCAUAUUAUGCGGUUACUAACUGGGAACAAUGCGAAGAUGUUCCAUUUACGAUCCAAUCACGCAUCCGCGAAUCUCGUUCGGAUUAUGCAACGUACGGUUAUUAGUGCAAAAGAAACAUUGGUCGAUGCGACGUCCUUUAAAGACGCGCGUUAAAUCGUCCACCGCAAGACCGCAGGAAUAACCGACGAUUUCAUCAAUCUGCCGUCUCGUAACAGCGGCGUUAAACGAAGUGCCGUCGUCUGUUUGCUCAAAUCGUUCCCAAGAACCAUGGAAAAUCGUCAUCGUGUAUCUCGUGUACACGAACUGAUCGAACGUUGCGCACAGGGAACACUCGAUUUCUCCGGCGAGAAUCCUUAAUUCCCACCAGCCAGUGCCCAUUUACUUUGCGGUCGGCAUAUGCAAUUGCAUCGGCCGUGCAAGUGAGUCCCUGAUGCGUCCUGCGGUCAAACAUCAUCACCGUAGCUCACGCGCCCUGACGCAGGAUGCACCUACCCUGCGGGACCUUCUAAUAUACGAAAUUGCUCGUCCUGGCAUGUUUAUUUGACGUCGGGGCUGCCGUACUCGACCCGUACUUCCAAUUUACCGGCUGACAUUUUUCAACUUCCUCCGCCGCAUCGCGACGUUUCUACUUUUCUUUCUUUUCUCUUCCUCCCUCUUCUCUUUUUUUCUAUUUUCGUCAGCGUCCCUAUUUCACCCAUUUCUCUUUUACAGUCGUGUUUCUCCCGCUUCUUCGUCGUUCUUUUUCGUUCGCCUUUUCGCUCUUUUACGCUCCUUCGCGGCGAUUUUUCGUUGGUCGAAGCAGCAACUAACGGUUUCACAGAGGCAAAGAGGUAAGGCUCGAUGAACGGUUAGGCCGAUGGUUAAAAGCGUGCUAGCGUCCCCGAGCAAACUCACGUACGCGUGAAGCUUGAAACGUUUAAUUCGCCGAUUUGUAACUGGAAUAAGGUGACGCUUUAACGAGAAUUCUUGUCUCUUUGACAAACUCUUCGGUAAUAUGCUUGAAUACCUAAUCUAGCUCGUAUUGAAAAAUAGGAACAGCUGCGAUACGUAGAAGAUUCGAAGUUUAUCGGAUUCUAAUCAAAUUAAUCAACUAGGUAAUCUAUUCAUCGGUAUUUUGUAGCCGUCGCUUUAAGAAACAUAUUCGUGGCUCUUUAAACGAGGAAAUCCUUUACGCGCUGUAACAAGCAAUAUUUAUCCAUACACCGAAUUUGUUAUAAAACAAUCAGAGGAUAUCAUAUUAUAGUAGCUGUCUGCAUAUUGACACUACAUUAUUUACAAGACGAACGUAUUUGUUUGCUUGAUUAGUCAACUAAACACAUUUACAAUACCAAUGCUAUCGAAUGUGUCUUUUCAUAUUUAAAUCUGGUCCGUAAACCUUCUCACGAGUCUCGCAAUGUGAAAUGUUAACGAGACAAUAACGUAACUAUUCGGGAAAAAUUUAUCUUUAACUUUGUAAUAUUCGAGAUAUCGAUUCGAGACGAAUUUAAUGCAGCUAAAUAUACGAAAUACGAGUUGACGAAUUUUCCAGACGAAAAUGCGACGAAGGAUGCAAGAGAGAGAGACUUUGCAAACUCGUAAACACGACUGCAUUAUGCAGCGUGCACAACAGUGCGUAUCCGUUCAAACGUCCGCCGGCGAUAAAUCGGAUAAUGCACGGAGGCGCGUCGCACGAUGUAUCGGCGAACAUAUAAUUAACACGGACCGGCGUUCUACACAAUCAUUCGCAUUAUCGUGCUGAUUAUCGUCUUCGGCUUGCAUCAUCACCUCUGGCCGAGCGGCAACCGCUAAAUCGCUCGAUACUAGGCCUGAUUCAAAGGAAAAUGCUACCUCGAUAAUUACUGCGGCUAAUCUCCGCUCUAACCGAAUGUAGCUGCCGAAAUAUACUUACUAGAA